GUACAAAGCGUGUUGGCAUGAUCAAGCAUUAUAGAGUCUUUCAUAGUUCAUUAUUCUGGAUGUCAGUUAAGGAAUUACAAAUUGAAACAAAAGAGAAUAUAUUUAAUAAAUGAUCUUAGAUAUCUGUUUUUCCAUGGUUGCUUCUAAAAGAUACCAAGUAUUAACAGGUGCAGUAAUUGUUUCCUUUCAUAAAUAACUCUAGAUUUGCUCCACUAAG
rnacentral:misc_RNA from 1 species